rnacentral:rRNA from 1 species
UACAGAGGUCUCAAGCGUUGUUCGGAUUCAUUGGGCGUAAAGGGUGCGUAGGUGGCGUCGUAAGUCAGGUGUGAAAUUUCGGAGCUUAACUCCGAAACUGCAUUUGAUACUGCGGUGCUUGAGGACUGGAGAAGGAGACUGGAAUUUACGGUGUAGCAGUGAAAUGCGUAGAGAUCGUAAGGAAGACCAGUGGCGAAGGCGGGUCUCUGGACAGUUCCUGACACUGAGGCACGAAGGCCAGGGAGCAAACGGG